AACUGAUACUACCUGCGGGAACCUGCGGAGGGAUCAUUACUGAGUUUCACAACUCUCUAACCCUGUGUGAACUGAAGUCUGGUUGCUCAGGCAGGCGGCCCCCGGGGGGAGCCGCAGCUUCUCUGAAGCGCCUGCCGGAGGAUACCUAAACUCGUUUUAACAUAUAAUCUUCUGAGUAAUAAAAAAAAUGAAUCAAAACUUUUAACAACGGAUCUCU
rnacentral:misc_RNA from 1 species